UACGUAGGGAGCAAGCGUUAUCCGGAAUUACUGGGUGUAAAGGGAGCGUAGACGGCUGUGCAAGUCUGGAGUGAAAGGCGGGGGCCCAACCCCCGGACUGCUCUGGAAACUGUGAAGCUGGAGUGCAGGAGAGGUAAGCGGAAUUCCUGGUGUAGCGGUGAAAUGCGUAGAUAUUAGGAGGAACACCAGUGGCGGAGGCGGCUUACUGGACGGUAACUGACGCUGAGGCUCGAAAGCGUGGGGAGCAAACAGG
rnacentral:rRNA from 1 species